rnacentral:rRNA from 1 species
CGUAGGGUGCGAGCGUUAAUCGGAAUUACUGGGCGUAAAGCGUGCGCAGGCGGUUUUGUAAGACAGAUGUGAAAUCCCCGGGCUCAACCUGGGACCUGCAUUUGUGACUGCAAGGCUAGAGUACGGUAGAGGGGGAUGGAAUUCCGCGUGUAGCAGUGAAAUGCGUAGAUAUGCGGAGGAACACCGAUGGCGAAGGCAAUCCCCUGGACCUGUACUGACGCUCAUGCACGAAAGCGUGGGGAGCAAACAGGAUUAGAUACCCUGGUAGUCCACGCCCUAAACUAUGUCGACUAGUUGUUGGGGGAGUUAAAUCCCUUAGUAACGCAGCUAACGCGUGAAGUCGACCGCCUGGGGAGUACGGUCGCAAGAUUA